GAGAGGAGACAGGUGUGCGGACAGGUAAACUACAUCAGGUGAGGACAGGUGAGCUUAUGUACAGGUGGAGGGAUGGGUGAAAGUGGUUUGUGGUGAACUUAGGUGGGGAAAGAAAGGUUAAAUAGGGAAAAGAUGAGUUAGUAAGUAAACAAAUGAUGAAGGUGUGCGGACAGGUUAACUAGUGCGUAGGUGAGGACAGGUGAGCUUAUGUACAGGUGAGUUAGGGUGGAUGGAUAGGUGAAAGUAGUUUGUUAGUGUUUGUUAGUAAGUAAAGAAAUGAAAAAGGUGUGCGGACAGGUUAACUAGCGCAUAGGUGAGGACAGGUGAGCUUAUGUACAGGUGAGUUGAUAGGGGAGGGAUAGGUGAAAGUAGUUUAUUAGUGUUUGUUAGUAAGUUAACAAAUGAUGAAGGUGUGCGGACAGGUUAACUAGUGCGUAGGUGAGGACAGGUGAGCUUAUGUACAGGUGAGUUGAUAGGGGAGGGAUAGGUGAAAGUAGUUUGUUAGUGUUUGUUAGUAAGUAAAGAAAUGAAAAAGGUGUGCGGACAGGUUAACUAGCGCAUAGGUGAGGACAGGUGAGCUUAUGUACAGGUGAGUUAGGGUGGAGGGAUAGGUGAAAGUGGUUUGUGGU